rnacentral:tRNA from 1 species
CCCCUGGUGGCUCAGACAGUAAAGCAUCUGCCUGCAAUGCGGGAGACCCAGGUUCAAUCCCUGGGUUGGGAA